AAGGUCCCUGGACCAAAGAAGAAGAUCAAAGAGUGAUAGAGCUUGUCCAGAAAUACGGUCCGAAGCGCUGGUCUGUUAUUGCCAAGCACUUAAAAGGGAGAAUUGGAAAACAAUGUCGGGAGAGGUGGCACAACCAUUUGAAUCCAGAAGUUAAGAAAACCUCAUGGACAGAAGACGAAGACAGAAUCAUUUAUCAGGCACACAAGAGACUGGGAAACAGAUGGGCAGAAAUCGCAAAACUGCUGCCAGGACGG
rnacentral:lncRNA from 1 species